rnacentral:misc_RNA from 1 species
UACGUAGGGGGCAAGCGUUGUCCGGAAUUAUUGGGCGUAAAGCGCGCGCAGGCGGCGAUCUAAGUCUGAUGUUUAAACUCGGGGCUUAACCCCGAGACGCAUGGGAAACUGGAUGGCUUGAGUGCAGGAGAGGAAAGUGGAAUUCCACGUGUAGCGGUGAAAUGCGUAGAGAUGUGGAGGAACACCAGUGGCGAAGGCGACUUUCUGGCCUGCAACUGACGCUGAGGCGCGAAAGCGUGGGGAGCGAACAGG